rnacentral:lncRNA from 1 species
GCAACUUCCCACCUUUGCUCUUGGGGAGACUCGAACUCACAACCUCUUGGUUGAAAGUGGGGGUUGCUUACCAUCAGAGCAAGCCCCUCUUGUCUGCAUGCAUCUAUAAUAUACUAAAAUAUCAUGCAAAUGUGUUAAUGCUUGUAUAUGCAGUCAGGUUCUUUGACCAGAGCACAUCCAGGCUAGUGCUUUCCCAACUAUUCUUUGUUUUGAAAUUUGUUUAUGGAAGUCAGUCUUAAUGGUUUUAUGAGUUUUGCAGGUCCAGGUUUCCCCGCAUAUAAGGACUAUGAGCAUGACGUUAAUUACAACUUACCAUGAAUUGUGUACAGGUGGUUGGAGCUAACUCAGAGGAUCUGUCCCAACAGGUUUGCUUUAACAGGCAUUUGCUGAAAAGAGAUGGAAGAUCUUUUAAUGGCUUAUCCUAUGUGAGACUUAUAAUUCUUGUUCUGUCUAAUUUUGGAGUAAUGCAGCUUAGGAAUAGGCCAUUGCGGGUAUUGAAUUGUCUAUAUGGCUCUUGUUGGAUGUAGCUGGGGGGAUCUUGGUAAAACUUGUUGUGUCUAGAAGACUUCUAUUAGCCAUGUCUAUGAUAACUGUUAGACUUGUUAGAGACUAUUGAAGAUUUUAGCAACAUAGUUAUAAUUUUUUCUUUCGAAAUAGUAUCUUGAUGUUGUUUAGUCAUUUCCUCUGUUACUGCUUUCUUUUCUUUUUUCCUUGAACCGCAGGUCUAUCAGAAACAACUUCUUUGCCCUCAAGGUAGGAAUAAGGUCUGCAUAUACACUACCCUUCCUCGAUUCCACUCGUGGGAUUAUAUUGGGUUUGUUGUUGUUUGGUCAUUUCAUCUAUUUUACAAUAAUGCGGUCUAUUAUGAGUAAUAUGACGUGCAUUUUCUGUUUGAAAGUCUUGCUUGCUUGGUGCAUGCGUAUCUAUGUUUAGAUCCAAAUAUAUUUAGUUUAGUCUUGCCCUGUCAUGCAUCUACAAAGAAUUGUUAGUUGUGAUUAGUGAGCUAAAAAUUUUGCUGUUUAUUUUUUAUUAUUUCUUGAAGCAAGCUUGUCAAAACCUGACUUCAGACAUACAACUUUUCUUUGUCGUAAAGUGCACUUCAAUCGUAUAUAUGGGUAACUAUAGCACCCAGAUGGCCAUUACCAAUGGGAGAGUAUCGUCCAGUACUUAGCUGCUUUAUGGAACCUUAUCUCAAGAAGCCCAAAUUAGUAAAGUUAGACUUCUUUAUAACAACAUCGCUAUAUAACAAUUCAUAAAAAAAGCCAAGCUUUUUUUGGAAUCAAUUAUUGUGCUAUGGCCAAUGUUAUUAUAUAACACUAUUUUGCUAUAAUAACUAUUUUUUUUUUUU